rnacentral:rRNA from 1 species
AUGGUUAAACCGCGAAUGGCUCAUUAAAUCAGUUUCUGUUUGCUAGAACACUAACACUUUUGGAUAACUUUUGGGAAUUCUAGAGCUAAUACGUGCAUACCAAAGCUCCAACUCACGUAGGAGCGCAUUUAUUAGACCAAAACCAAUCUGAUGCGCUCGUCUAUCUGACUUCUUGGUGACUCUGAAUAACUUUGCUAAUCGCAGCGGUCUUGAGCCGGCGAUGCUUCUUAUAAAAGUCUGACCUAUCAACUUACGAUGGUAAGUGAUAUGCUUACCACGGUUGUAACGGGUAACGGGGAAUCAGGGUUCGAUUCCGGAGAGGGAGCCUGAGAAACGGCUGCCACUCCUACGGGAGGCAGCAGGCGCGCAAAUUACCCACUCCCGGCACGGGGAGGUAGUGACGAAAAAUAACGACACCAGACUUCUAUAGCCUUGGUGAUCGCAAUGAGGACAGCUUAAAUACUUUAUCGAGUAUCUAAUAGAGGGCAAGUCUGGUGCCAGCAGCCGGGGUAACUCCAGCUCUAUUAGCGUAUAUUAAAGUUGUUGC